rnacentral:lncRNA from 9 species
CGCCCAGCCAUUUUGCACUAGGAACUCGGUCUGAAAUUCCGGGAGGAGGCCUCUGCGUGCGGCACCCUGUGAUCCAGUGAAACUAGACUAAGCACAAACCGAGAAAUGAAGGUUGUCUUCAUAUUCAAGAAGAGGAAAUUAUGCAUAUCAUGUACCCUAGAGGAGAGAAAUCCCGGAGGCCACCUCAAGAGUUAAUGUCCUGAUUCAGUAAGAAAUGACCAGAGAACUCCAAAACAAUUUGAGGCAUAGAAUUGUAAAAUUCAACAGGUUAGUAAUGAGAGAGAGAGAGAGAGAGACAAAGAAAAAGUUUGAGAAAAUAAUCAUGUGUUUGCAUACCUAAUUUUGGAAUUCAGGGGUCUCAGCCAAGAACUCAAAAGGUAGUGGAAAAUUAUUUUUCUUCUCUACAAGGGAAAAUCCACAAAGGUGGGCAGAGAACCAGAGACAAGUUUGCCUUGAGGUAGUGUAUCUAAUAUACCUCUGAAAAUCCCAAGGCAAGAAGUUCCUGUCCACUGUUCUACAAGGGAUAAAAUCCUGUGUUUGGUGAUUGUAUAUCCUGGCUUCCCUUCUUGUUAGAUAUGGUCAUGUGAUUGAUUCUUUUCAACUAAGGUGAAUGUUUUUAAAGAUUUUCUUAAUACUGGGAAGACACAUCAGACUUUGAUGAUAUUUGAGUCUGCCAGAUACAUCUGUGAGUACUACUAAUGAAGGUCAAGGUCAGUCAUAUUCCUGGGGAGAGAUGCAGUGAAAGAAAGAACUGUCCACGUGCUCUGCUGGUGUGACGUUCUGACCUCGAACUACUUGUUCACAUAGGCACUUGCAGAACUCUUGCAACUAAAUGACUGGAAAAAAUUAUUAAUUCAGGUCAAAGAAGAGAAACAAAUUAUUCAAAUGAAGGAAAAAGAACAAACUUUAUUACAGGCCCAAGCAGGCUAAGCAGAACUUCUGCCAUGGAAAUUAAGACACAGCUGACUGGAGAAGAUGAUGUGUAUGAUGUGUACCCAGCUCUAAGAAGACCCUUACCUUAGGAACUAGUAAAGAGACAACAGAAUUUAUCCCUGCUACAACCACUACUUCUGCCACAAAUCUAGCUCUCCAGUUCUCACCAUCAAACUUCAUGGAAACAUAACUAUUGGGGAAGAAAAGGAGUCAAAACUGAGAGUCACUGACACCAUUAUUGUAAACAGGGGAAUGAACUUGGAAAGGCUACUCCCAUGCACACAGCUUCAGUGAUAGGAAAAUUCAUGAGGUGCACCUAAGAUUUCAUCCAGCAGCAGAGGAAAUCCAGUACCCAUUGGUUAUGUUUUAAAAGCUAUUUCUUAAAAAGAAGACAGAAGAUAGAAUUUUAUCAGAUUCAGAGAGCUGUGAUUCCACUCAGUCAAUGAAUCCUGAUACUGAAGGAGGCACAGAAAUGAUGGGAAAACUGAAAUCAACUGUCAGGAAGAUCUUUUCUUGGGCCGCUCCCGCAGCAUAUGGGAGGUUCCUAGGCUAGGGGUCUAAUCAGAGCUGUAGCUGCCAGCCUACACCAGAGCCACUGCAACGCGGGAUCCCAGCCACAUCUGUGACGUACACCACAGCUCAUGGCAACGCCAGAUCCUUAACCCACUGAGCAAGGGCAGGGAUCGAACCCGCAACCUCAUGGUUCCUAGUCGGAUUUGUUAACCACUGCGCCACGAUGGGAACUCCCUCACUUUCUACUUUGGAUCUCACUUCCUUCACUAUAUAUUUCUUUUGAGAAAAUGGGAGGGGUUAUGCACCGCUCUCCAUAAGCAACAUUUUCCAGGUAUCUGCCUGAAGAUAUUGCCAGUGGAGAUUUUCUUAAGAAAUUCCCACAAUUAAAUACACUAGGAGAGAAAACCUAAAGCAUCCCCUUUCACACUUCAUAUGCACCCAUUGUUUCUAGACAAGUAAGAAUUAUGGUAUAAAAUAUUUCACCUACACCACCCCAUACCCCCCCACUCCAAGCAGAAGUUAUGACAGAAAAGUGGCACAGGUAAGGGAUUGGAAAGAGUAUAAAGCCCCAUUUGGUCUUGGAGACAUGGUAAAGGAGGCAAAAAGAAAUACAAGGUGAGAUUAUAACAGGAAACUGAAGUGAAAAAAUGCAGUCCUGACCAUGAUGAAAGAUCAAAGGUAUCUUCUGAGAAAACACAGGAUUCAUACUAUAUAUGAGCUGAAUUGAAUACAGAUCUCUCAUUGAAAAUCACAACCUCAGAACAUUCUAUGGACAGAUAUCAGUAAGUGUAGUGAUUAAUUUGCAAUUUAUUUCUAAAUGCUUAUUUGAAAGGAAGGAUUUUAAACUGAUGUUUUACAUUAGAAUAACAAAAUAGAAGACCAUAGUAACUAUUGGAAAUGUGAUAUUCACCCAUUAUUACCUCUUCCAUACAUUGUCUAUUUGGAAUCCUCCUAUUUUAAUCUAACAGAUUCAUUAGCUUUUUUUUUUUUAAACUUAUGCAGUUAUAAGUUGUAUAUCAAUUUUAAAUUGUAUUUUUUUUUGGCUCAGUUUUAAAAAAAGUGAAAAUAGAAGCAGAGUAAAAGAAUUCU